rnacentral:rRNA from 1 species
GACGAAGGAUGCAAGCGUUAUCCGGAUUCAUUGGGUUUAAAGGGAGCGUAGGUGGCCUUAUAAGUCAGUGGUGAAAUCUUCGAGCUUAACUCGGAAAUUGCCAUUGAUACUGUAGGGCUUGAGUAUAGUUCCGUUUGGCGGAAUAUGACAUGUAGUGGUGAAAUACAUAGAGAUGUCAUAGAACACCGAUUGCGAAGGCAGCUGACGAAACUAUAACUGACACUGAGGCUCGAAAGUGCGGGGAUCAAACAGG